GUGGUUACAACACUUUCCACGUGAAAAUAAAGACAGGAAACAUAUUAGCAUCUAAUGUGCGAUAAUUCCCACCGAUCAGUACAUAAAAUGCCGCGAAGAAGAGGUGGCACAGAAUCUCCAUGAAAGAACUCAAUAUAAUCUUCGUAACCUGCCUUCUUUGCAAGGAAAUCCGCAGCCAUGUUCGUCUCCAUGUACACAUGCUGAAUCCUAGCAUCGACCUUUGUUGCCAAAACUAGAAUUUUAUCCCAAGAAUCUUGCAGGGUCCAUAGAGUGCAAACUCAUCUUUCCAUCCAUUGAACCACAACUUUUGAGUUUGAUUCUACCAUCACAUCCUGCAAUCCAAGUUUGUUACACAUUUUCAAGCCAUCAAGUAGAGCUCGAGUUUUCGCUACCAUGUUCGUCACUUGUCCAUAAUGAUGUGCAAAGGCUGCCCGACAAAUACCAUUUGAAUCUCGUGAAAGACCUCCUCCGCUAGCUUGUCCAGGAUUCCCCAUAGAUGUCCCAUCAAUAUUCAACUUAAUCACCUGGCUAAUAAGUUUUUUCCAAGAUAUUAGUUGUAUCUAUGAUGUCUUUGGACAAAUAAUAGGACAAUUGAGAUACUAGAGAGAGCAUAUAUCCCAGACCGGAAGUCUUUUCACCUUGCAUAUCAUUCCAGCAUAAAUGGACAUGAAAUAUUAGGUUUUCCACACAACUCCUUGCCAUUGAAAAGUCGCUCCUUCCAUGUGAGCAGCACACCUCGCAGUCCAAAGUGACCAUGUGAUUACCAUUGGCACAACACCCCGAAGAACUCCCAUUUGGGUUGUUUCAUAUGCAAAGACCACCAAAGUUGCUUACAAUUUUUCCAAGAAGUUGUUGAGAUGUGCAUAAAUUGAAGUGUAAAGCAAAAUAGUCCCAUACCUUCGUAGCUACUUCUCCCGAAGAUAGAACGUGAUCUAGUGUCUCUACUGCAGGCAUUGUACAACAUUCGUAUCUAGACACUAAUAAUACCAAGAGAUUUUACGACGUCAACGACUAGGAGACAGUUUCUGAUGGCCCACCAAGUUACAAAUGACAUUCUUUUAUCCACCCUAGUAUGCCAUAACCACUUCGACCAUGAACAUAUCUCAUCUUUUUGUGGAUCAAAGUCCACACACUUAUAGUAGAAAAUAGGCCGUCUUUGCUGGGUUUCCAAACAUAGUAAUUUCUACCAAACUGCAAACAUAUCCCAAACUAAGUAUGUAACGCCCCAACUUUC
rnacentral:lncRNA from 1 species